GCUAGCAUGGUGCAAUGGUUUGAAUAUUGGACUAUGACUCUGGAGACUAGGGUUCAAAUCCCCACUCAGCC
rnacentral:tRNA from 1 species